CUUUGCAGCCCCAUCACUGCGCGGGAGGACAGAAAGACAGAGUGGGGAUCGGGUGUGGAGGAAGCGAUCUGCUUCGCGAUUGCAGCUUGGUGUCCUGCAGGUGGAGCUGGAGCUGGGGUCCUAAGGAGCUUAUCAGAAGCUGCUGCCAAAUUCUGCUAUCAGCUCGAGAUGUAUUCUGAUAUUCUCUACCAUGGCUGUGAGAGUUGGAGCCGAGGAAGAUGAGCAUGUAGCAUCUUCAGUCAGGAAGCAGAGUGAUGAAGGCUGAUGCUCAGCACAGGACCCAGCUCACAGGAUAACGCUGUGCAUAUUCU